GACGAACGCUGGCGGCGUGCUUAACACAUGCAAGUCGAACGGAAAGGCCCUGCUUUUGUGGGGUGCUCGAGUGGCGAACGGGUGAGUAACACGUGAGUAACCUGCCCUUGACUUUGGGAUAACUUCAGGAAACUGGGGCUAAUACCGGAUAGGAGCUCCUGCUGCAUGGUGGGGGUUGGAAAGUUUCGGCGGUUGGGGAUGGACUCGCGGCUUAUCAGCUUGUUGGUGGGGUAGUGGCUUACCAAGGCUUUGACGGGUAGCCGGCCUGAGAGGGUGACCGGGCACAUGGGGACAGAGAUACGGCCCAGACGCCUACGGGCGGCAGCGGGGGGGAAUGUGGCACAAGGGGCGGGGGCCUGAUGCAGCAACGCCGCGGGCGGGAUGACGGCGUUCGGGUUGUAAACCGCUUUCGCCUGUGACGAAGCGUGAGGGACGGGAAUGGGGAAAGAAGCACCGCCUAACUACGG
rnacentral:rRNA from 1 species